GGCUGCGUGGUAUAGUGGUUUAACAUUGGACUAGGACAUUGGGAGACCAGGAUUUGAAUCCCAGCGCAGACA